GUUGUUUUUCCGAAAAUCAAUUAUGAAUGUUUUUGUUUUUGAGGAGUUAUGACUUCAUCGGCUUGCUCCUUUCUUUACGGAACUUUCGUAAUGCACUUUUCGGUUAACAAGUCAACAUCAAUUUCUUUUGUUGUAAAAGGGUAUGAGGAAGGUGGCUUUCUUUUCGGAGAAAGUGUUUAUAGCCUUGUACCUCUGCAAUCGGAGAGAUUGAGGUCUGCAGCGUAGAUCCUUCGGGGCUAGAUACACUUGUGCUAAGUUAUAGCUUUUCAUAGACAACUUGUUGACUAUGUUUAGUCAUGUAGCUUACCCGCUUGUGCUAUUUUACCUAC
rnacentral:rRNA from 1 species